rfam:Eutrema salsugineum unplaced genomic scaffold scaffold_18, whole genome shotgun sequence.
AAGCCGUGGUGUGGGCAUUGGUUAGUGUAGCUUCUAAACCGUUCCCAAGCUUCACUAAAGAUCUCGUUAUUGUGCUGCGUGAAACUUGAGAUCUGAUUCCUGAGCUU